rfam:Triticum aestivum genome assembly, contig: Triticum_aestivum_CS42_TGACv1_scaffold_556361_7AL
CAAGUACUCCUUCCGUCCGGAGUUACUUCUCAUCAAAAUGGAUGUGUCUAGAACUAAAAUACAUCUAGAUACAUCCAUUUCAAUGACAAGUAUUUUCGGACGGAGGGAGUACAAG